UAAAACGCGUUAAAGCCUUCCAAUAUCACCACAACCAAAUUCCACACAUCUACUCCAAACCCUUAAACACUAUUGGAUGACCCCAUAAACCUAUGGAAGACAUCAUGCUCAAACUAGUAACAAGAGUAUGAAACUCUCCUAAAUAUAAAUAUAAGCCGCAACAGACAAGCUAACGGCAAUUAACGUUAAUAAGUCUAAUACAACAACUCCCAAGAAAAACUUGUAAACUUCAACGUUACCCUUACACAAGCAUAUUUCAGGAAAGAUUAAAAGGCGAAGAAGGAACUCGGCAAAACCCAACCCCGCCUGUUUACCAAAAACAUCGCCUCUUGCUAAGAUAUAAGAGGUCCAGCCUGCCCAGUGAUUAUUAAACGGCCGCGGUACCCUAACCGUGCUAAGGUAGCACAAUUACUUGUCCUUUAAAUGUGGACCAGAAUGAAUGACAUCACGAGGGUUGCACUGUCUCCUUCCCCCCAUCAGUGAAACUGACCUUCCCGUGAAAAGGCGGGAAUUCAAAUACUAGACGAGAAGACCCCAUGGAGCUUUAGACGCCGAACAAGUCUAGACGUAUCACCCCAUAGUCAAGACCCUUGUCUCUAAGUCUUAGGUUGGGGCGACCAUGGAGUAUAAAUUAACCUCCACACCGAAUGGACUAUUCCUUAUCUAUGAGUGACAACUCUAAGAAACAGAAUACUGACGCCUUCUGAUCCGGAAUCCGAUCAACGAACUAAGUUACCCUGGGGAUAACAGCGCUAUCUACCCCGAGAGUUCAUAUCGACAGGUAGGUUUACGACCUCGAUGUUGGAUCAGGGUCCCCUAGUGGUGCAGCCGCUACAUAAGGUUCGUUUGU
rnacentral:rRNA from 1 species